GAUGAACGCUAGCGGGAGGCUUAACACAUGCAAGUCGAGCGGGAUUAGCAGCAAUGCUAUGAGAGCGGCGCACGGGUGCGUAACGCGUAUGCAACCUGCCUUAUACAGGGGAAUAGCCCAUGGAAACGUGGAUUAAUGUCCCAUAGGAUCACGGUAUCGCAUGGUAUUGUGAUUAAAACUGAGGUGGUAUAAGAUGGGCAUGCGUCUGAUUAGGUAGUUGGUGAGGUAAUGGCUCACCAAGCCGACGAUCAGGAAGGGUUCUGAGAGGAUUACCCCCCACACUGGUACUGGGACACGGACCAGACGCCUACGGGAGGCAGCAGUGAGGAAUAUUGGUCAAUGGCCGGAAGGCUGAACCAGCCAUCCCGCGUGCAGGAUGACGGCCCUAUGGGUUGUAAACUGCUUUUGUACCUGAAGAAACCUGGUUACGUGUAACCAGUUGCCGGUAAGGUAUGAAUAAGCAUCGGCUAACUCCGUGCCAGCCGCCGCAGUAA
rnacentral:rRNA from 1 species